rnacentral:miRNA from 1 species
UACUACUCCCUCUGUCCCCAA